UACAGAGGGUGCGAGCGUUGUCCGGAAUCACUGGGCGUAAAGGGUGCGUAGGUGGCUUGGUAAGCGUGUGGUGAAAGUCCGGGGCUCAACCCCGGAUCUGCCGUGCGAACUGCUGAGCUUGAGCAAUGUAGAGGGAGGUGGAAUUUCGGGUGUAGCGGUGGAAUGCGUAGAGAUCCGAAAGAACACCAGUGGCGAAGGCGGCCUGCUGGGCAUUUGCUGAUACUGAGGCACGAAAGCGUGGGGAGCAAACAGG
rnacentral:rRNA from 1 species